GAGUUUGAUCAUGGCUCAGGACGAACGCUGGCGGCGUGCCUAAUACAUGCAAGUCGAACGCUUUUUUCAAUCAUCGUAGCUUGCUACACCGAUUGAAAAUUGAGUGGCGAACGGGUGAGUAACACGUGGGUAACCUGCCCAAAAGAGGGGGAUAACACUUGGAAACAGGUGCUAAUACCGCAUAACCAUGAUGACCGCAUGGUCAUUAUGUAAAAGAUGGUUUCGGCUAUCACUUUUGGAUGGACCCCGCGGCGUAUUAACUUGUUGGUGGGGUAACGGCCUACCAAGGUAAUGAUACGUAGCCGAACUGAGAGGUUGAUCGGCCACAUUGGGACUGAGACACGGCCCAAACUCCUACGGGAGGCAGCAGUAGGGAAUCUUCCACAAUGGACGCAAGUCUGAUGGAGCAACGCCGCGUGAGUGAAGAAGGUUUUCGGAUCGUAAAGCUCUGUUGUGGUGAAGAGGAUAGAGGUAGUAACUGGCCUUUAUUUGACGGUAAUC
rnacentral:rRNA from 1 species